UUUUUGUUAAGUUUGUGUUUGGGUUAGGUUUGGGUUUGGGUUAGGUUUGGGUUUUGUUAAGUUUGGGUUUGGGUUAGGUUUGGGUUUGGGUUAGGCUUGGGUUUGGUUUUAUUUUUGUUAGGUUUGGGUUUUUUUGGGUUGGGUUUUGUUCAGUUUGGGUUUUGUUAGGUUUGGGUCUCUUAGGUUUGGGUUUUGUUAUGUUUGGGUUUCGUUAGGUUUGGGUUUUGUUAGGUUUGGUUUUUAGGUUUGG
rnacentral:lncRNA from 1 species